rnacentral:rRNA from 1 species
UGCAAGUCGAGCGGAAGGCCCUUCGGGGUACUCGAGCGGCGAACGGGUGAGUAACACGUGAGCAACCUGCCCCAGGCUUUGGGAUAACCCCGGGAAACCGGGGCUAAUACCGAAUAUGACCUCUGACCGCAUGGUUGGUGGUGGAAAGUUUUUCGGCUUGGGAUGGGCUCGCGGCCUAUCAGCUUGUUGGUGGGGUGAUGGCCUACCAAGGCGACGACGGGUAGCCGGCCUGAGAGGGCGACCGGCCACACUGGGACUGAGACACGGCCCAGACUCCUACGGGAGGCAGCAGUGGGGAAUAUUGCACAAUGGGCGGAAGCCUGAUGCAGCGACGCCGCGUGAGGGAUGACGGCCUUCGGGUUGUAAACCUCUUUCAGCAGGGACGAAGCGUAAGUGACGGUACCUGCAGAAGAAGCGCCGGCCAACUACGUGCCAGCAGCCGCGGUAAGACGUAGGGCGCGAGCGUUGUCCGGAUUUAUUGGGCGUAAAGAGCUCGUAGGCGGCUUGUCGCGUCGACCGUGAAAACUUGGGGCUCAACCCCAAGCCUGCGGUCGAUACGGGCAGGCUAGAGUUCGGUAGGGGAGACUGGAAUUCCUGGUGUAGCGGUGAAAUGCGCAGAUAUCAGGAGGAACACCGGUGGCGAAGGCGGGUCUCUGGGCCGAUACUGACGCUGAGGAGCGAAAGCGUGGGGAGCGAACAGGAUUAGAUACCCUGGUAGUCCACGCUGUAAACG